GACGAACCGAGCGAACGUUGUUCGGAAUCACUGGGCUUAAAGGGCGCGUAGGCGGGUGCUCAAGUCCGUGGUGAAAUCCUCCGGCUCAACCGGAGAACUGCCUCGGAUACUGGGCGUCUCGAGUGUGGUAGGGGUAUGCGGAACUAUCGGUGGAGCGGUGAAAUGCGUUGAUAUCGAUAGGAACUCCGGUGGCGAAGGCGGCAUACUGGACCACCACUGACGCUGAUGCGCGAAGGCCAGGGGAGCAAACGGG
rnacentral:rRNA from 1 species